CAGCAGCCACGGUAAUACGUAGGUGGCAAGCGUUGUCCGGAAUUAUUGGGCGUAAAGGGCUCGCAGGCGGUUUCUUAAGUCUGAUGUGAAAGCCCCCGGCUCAACCGGGGAGGGUCAUUGGAAACUGGGAAACUUGAGUGCAGAAGAGGAGAGUGGAAUUCCACGUGUAGCGGUGAAACGCGUAGAGAUGUGGAGGAACACCAGUGGCGAAGGCGACUCUCUGGUCUGUAACUGACGCUGAGGAGCGAAAGCGUGGGGAGCGAACAGGAUUAGAUACCCGCGUAGUCCCUGUCUCUUAUAA
rnacentral:rRNA from 1 species